GGGGGAGCUCGGCGAGCGGAGACCGUAAAUAAAACCGGGAGACGGGCUGUGAGGAGCUGAGAGUGGGUCCGGGAGGCGGAGAGCGGCGGGGUCAGGCUGUGGAGAGGUGUGGAGUAACCGGAGCGCUGUCCGGUACCGCAGUUUCAGUGUUAUAUUGGUAGUUAGUUAAUAACGGGGGUUCUGCGCUCCUUCACUUCAGCCCUGACCGAUAUGGAGGUCCGCGCGCAGCGACCGGCUCGGUUUCGCGCCCUUUUGGACGCGGCUGGUUAACGUUAAGCUCCGGACCGCGGAGGAGGAGUCGCUGUGUUUGUGUUUAUACUGUGUGUGUUUUACCGGAGGACACGGUGACCGGUCAGGAAGAUGCCCGGCAGGAACAGGUAUAACCUGGUGGAUGAUGUGGCGGACUCCCGGGUUCCGCUUCAUAACGACGAGGCUUUCCAGCACGGACUGCACUUCCAGGCGAAGUAUGUGGGCAGUCUGGAUGUCCCAAGACCCAACAGUCGUAUGGAGAUUGUUGCUGCCAUGAGGAGGAUCAGAUAUGAGUUCAAGGCAAAGAACAUAAAGAAGAAGAAGGUGAGCUUGGUGGUCUCAGUGGAUGGAGUAAAAGUCAUACUACGCAAAAAACAGAAAAGAAAAGAGUGGACAUGGGAUGAAAGCAAAAUGCUGGUGAUGCAUGACCCCAUAUACAGGAUCUUCUAUGUGUCGCAUGACUCUCAGGAUCUGAAGAUUUUUAGCUACAUCGCCAGAGACGGAUCCAGCAACACCUUCAGAUGCAACGUCUUCAAGUCUAAAAAGAAGAGCCAGGCUAUGCGUAUUGUAAGGACAGUGGGACAGGCCUUCGAGGUGUGCCAUAAGCUGAGUCUGCAGCACGCUGAGCAGAAUGGGGAUGGACAGCUAGACAGUGCUGCAGAUGGAGAGAGUGAUAAGUCUGUGGAUGAGGCCACAAAUGAAGAGCGGCAGCUGCCUGGAGCUGAACAGGAUGAGGUCAUAGAGGUGGGAACAGAGUCUCAGUCUGCCAAUGUGUGUGAACAAGCUAUGAACGAAAUCCUUAAGAGCCUAUCAGAUCUCAACAUGGUCAAACCAGGACAGACCCUGCAGGAUUUGGAGGGUGUGUCUCUCUACACUCUAUCUCCCAGCAGCCCCUGCUCUCCAUCUCUCACGCCACUGGCCACCCAUCACCACCUGCACUUACUACAGCAGCAGUUACUCCAGCAGCAGCAGCAAGCCCAAGUCGCAGUGGCUCAGGUGCAGCUCCUAAAGGACCAGAUGGCAGCAGAAACUGCUGCUAGGAUGGAGGCUCAGGCAAGGACCCACCAACUGCUGCUGCAGAAUCGAGACCUGCUGCAGCACAUAGCUCUGCUGGUCAAACACGUCAGUGAGCUGGAGUCCAGAGUUAACGGCACUACACAGUAUGAGGAGUCACCAUGGAAAGGUGUUUCUUCCCGCUCUCUCUCCCUCAACCUGAAGAACCGCUACAUGCCCGGCUCAGGCCUGCCAAAGACCUCCACACCAGCUGGAGAUGCCCAAAACGGCCCUCCAAUCAGCCACACGAUGGACUGUGCUGAGUCCUACCUCAACCUUCUCAAACUGGGAGGACCCCCCACAGCCGUGGCCAACGGCAAGCCGGCGGACGCAGGAAGUGAGCAGGGAUCGGACGAUGCCAGGCAGAAUUCAUCUGCCCUGGACAAACGAUGA
rnacentral:lncRNA from 1 species